rnacentral:tRNA from 1 species
AGCUCAGUUGGUAGAGCAUGGUGUUUGCAACGCCAGGGUUGUGCGUUCGAUUCCCAC